rnacentral:rRNA from 1 species
UACGUAGGGCGCAAGCGUUGUCCGGAAUUAUUGGGCGUAAAGAGCUCGUAGGCGGCUUGUCACGUCGGGUGUGAAAGCCCGGGGCUUAACCCCGGGUCUGCAUUCGAUACGGGCAGGCUAGAGUGUGGUAGGGGAGAUCGGAAUUCCUGGUGUAGCGGUGAAAUGCGCAGAUAUCAGGAGGAACACCGAUGGCGAAGGCAGCUCGCUGGGACGGUACUGACGCUGAGGCGCGAAAGCGUGGGGAGCAAACAGG